AAGAGGCACCCGAAAUUGUGCAAAAUAUCACAAUAUAUUAAUAUUUUACAAUCUGUUUACUUGCAAAAAAUGGAGAAUGGUCUUAUUGGUAGGUACACGUUUUACAUCUUUAAUUCAGUCAAAAUGUACUUGAAGAAUUUAACUUGGGCAAGGCAUGACAACCAAAAAAGUUACUCUUUUCCCGCUAUUAUUUAAUUAUAGAUUGAAAAUUCUUAAUCAAUAAUAUUAAGUGUCUUUUGAAAUGUUUUUUAGCUCUUAGUGACUAUUCAAUUGGAUUGUGAGCAGUAUAUCGAUUUGGUCCCAACACAAUUUAGACAUAACCACAAAACUUGCGAUUUUAGGGCUAGUGGACACUUACUAUUAAUCGUAAAUCAUGUUAAGCAUUUUUUAACUGUUUUUUAGAUUCUCGUGACUGCGUAGUUUGUUUGGUAUGCGAGCAGUAUGUUAAACUGGCCCCCAUUCGAUUUAGAGCUACCUAUAUGAUCGAAAGUUUAGCCUAGAUAAGCUUCUGUAGCGAAUAUUUCAAAAGUAUGAGUUUCUGGUAUGCGAGAGGUGUUGCGAGGAAUUAUUAGCGAUUGCCAGAUCUUGUUAUAACGACCACUGUAGCUACUGUUUAGACCGCAAGGAUGCGGGGCAUUUUCCCUUCGUCUCCUUCCUCGAAUAUGGUAACUUCAUACUUAGAAACAGUGAUUCCAAUGUGCGAGAAUACAUCAACUAUAGAUUUUUUGAUAUUUGCAUCAUUUUAAAAGAUAUUUAUACCGCAAUAAACUCAAAAGAUUGGACCUACAUAGAUAAACUGGAAUACAGAAUUGAGGAACACCUAUUGGAUGACUACUACCUUGACAAAUACGAAGCAGCAUUCUCCGCGGUUACCGUCCCGAUAAGUUUCCCACGAACAAUUCCUAGACCUAUCGACAAGAUCAAUCCCCCAAUAAAAGCAAUUAAAUGUGACAUAAAUGUAAAGAAGAUCGAACACAUCAUGAGGAAUAUCAAACUAUAAAAUAGUAGUAAAUUUUUUGAAAUUAGUUGUGCAUUAUAUAACAUUUUCCGAUGAUCUUGCUAUAAAUUGUGAUGUUUCGUAAUAAAGGUGCAAUAUGAAAA